UGUGGCUAUAUCUUUUCCCUGCCUUUGCUUAGCAAGGAGCUCCCGUGCGACCACCUGGGUCAUGAUGCCGGGCUCAGCCGCCAUCCCCGAGGAGAUCAGUAACUUCCUUGCAGAUGUUGACACAUUUAUAUCAGAUAUCCUAAAAGGUGAAAAUUUAUCCAAAAGAGCAAAGGAAAAGAGGGAUGCGCUGGUUAAGAAGAUAAAAGACAUCAGGUCCAACUACCCACAAGAAUUUCCUGAAAGAGGACAUCCUGAAGAUGG